UACGUAGGGUGCAAGCGUUAUCCGGAAUUAUUGGGCGUAAAGAGCUCGUAGGCGGUUUGUCGCGUCUGCUGUGAAAACUGGGGGCUCAACCCCCAGCCUGCAGUGGGUACGGGCAGACUAGAGGGCGGUAGGGGAGAUUGGAAUUCCUGGUGUAGCGGUGGAAUGCGCAGAUAUCAGGAGGAACACCGAUGGCGAAGGCAGAUCUCUGGGCCGUAACUGACGCUGAGGAGCGAAAGCAUGGGGAGCGAACAGG
rnacentral:rRNA from 1 species